GGUGAACGCUGGCGGCGUGCCUAAUACAUGCAAGUCGAGCGAACAGACGAGGAGCUUUCUCCUCUGACGUUAGCGGCGGACGGGUGAGUAACACGUGGAUAACCUACCUAUAAGACUUGGAUAACUUCGGGAAACCGGAGCUAAUACCGGAUAAUAUAUUGAACCGCAUGGUUCAAUAGUGAAAGACGGUUUUGCUGUCACUUAUAGAUGGAUCCGCGCCGGAUUAGCUAGUUGGUAAGGGAACGGCUUACCAAGGCAACGAUGCGUAUCCGACCUGAGAGGGUGAUCGGCCACACUGGAACUGAGACACGGUCCAGACUCCUACGGGAGGCAGCAGUAGGGAAUCUUCCGCAAUGGGCGAAAGCUUGACGGAGCAACGCCGCGUGAGUGAUGAAGGUCUUCGGAUCGUAAAACUCUGUUAGUAGGGAAGAACAAAUGUGUAAGUAACUAUGCACGUCUUGACGGUACCUAAUCAGAAAGCCACGGCUAACUACGUG
rnacentral:rRNA from 1 species